CUCUUUGUGUAGGGAGAGCUUUCCUGUGAGUGAUUUGAAGACACUGCCUGCUCCCCGUCACCAGGUGUUUGGGUGCCUUGAGGAGGGGGAUGCAUGGGAAAGUCAAAGUGGAGUAGCUGCGGUUCAGGCACCAGGGUGAAACGAGGGUGUCACUGUGGACGUGAUUUCAGUGUUGGAAGGCAGUUAUUUCUCAAUGAAAACCUACAACCCAUGUUAAAACAUGAUUGUGUAUGGCAGGACGGCAAUGCCAGCGAUAAGGUGCCAUCUCCACUGUGUGAAACAGUCAGAAAAUGGCGACUCUGGAUUGGUCAAGGAGUGGAGCACAUGGUAUCUGGAGCCGGGGAGCCAGCUGGAC